CCUACGGGUGGCAGCAGUGAGGAAUAUUGGUCAAUGGCCGGAAGGCUGAACCAGCCAAGUCGCGUGAGGGAAUAAGGCCCUAUGGGUCGUAAACCUCUUUUGUCAGGGAGCAAAGGCGUCCACGUGUGGACGAGAGGAGAGUACCUGAAGAAAAAGCAUCGGCUAACUCCGUGCCAGCAGCCGCGGUAAUACGGAGGAUGCGAGCGUUAUCCGGAUUUAUUGGGUUUAAAGGGUGCGUAGGCGGAGUGUCAAGUCAGCGGUAAAAUUUCGGGGCUCAACCCCGUCGUGCCGUUGAAACUGACGCCCUUGAGUGAGUGAGAAGUAAGCGGAAUGCGUGGUGUAGCGGUGAAAUGCAUAGAUAUCACGCAGAACGCCGAUUGCGAAGGCAGCUUACUAAACUGCCACUGACAUUGAUGCUCGAAAGUGUGGGUAUCAAACAGGAUUAGAUACCCUAGUAGUC
rnacentral:rRNA from 1 species